rnacentral:sRNA from 1 species
GUGCUCUGGGUUCCUUGGCUCAGCUGCAGUGAGACCUGAAGGUGUUCGGUACUUCUGAGUCUCCAAGCUGCAUCCGGUCUUGGGAUGUCGAUCCUGGCAUCUGCAACCUCGAUGAACAGCUCAAGGUCUUUGUGUCCCGACACUCUGCCACCUUCUCCAGCAUUGUGAAAGGCCAGCGGAGCCUGCAUCACCGUGGAGACAGCCUGGAGACCCUGGUCCUCCUGAACCCAUCAGACAAAUCCCUGUGUGAUGAGCUCCGGAACCUUCUGUUGGACCCUGCCUCUCACAAGCUACUGGUGUUGGCUGGGCCCUGCCUAGAGGAGACGGGGGAGCUGCUGCUACAGACAGGGGGCUUCUCACCUCACCACUUCCUCCAGGUCCUGAAGGACAGAGAGAUCCGGGACAUCCUGGCCACCACGCCCCCACCUGUGCAGCCGCCCAUACUCACCAUCACCUGCCCCGCCUUCGGUGACUGGGCUCAGCUGGCCCCCGCUGUGCCCGGCCUUCAGGGGGCGCUCCGGCUCCAGCUGCGGCUGAACCCC